AUGUUUCCUUUAGCUUCCCCACCAUCUGUUGGAAACAGAGACAUAAUGGUUCAAUUAUCUAGAAAUAAUAGUAAUAAUGUGGAUAGUACUUCAUCUCCUGAUAAAUCAAAUCAAGUUGCAACUGUUGCUUCUGAAACUGGGCCGGCAUCCUCAACGAUUGUUCACUUCUAUUCUUCUGAUCCAGUAUUGGUUCCAUCUGAUAACUCAUGGCUUCCUGGUGUUGUUGGUGCCAUUAGACGCGAAGUGGAAAACUAA